rnacentral:rRNA from 1 species
CCUACGGUGUGCAGCAGUGAGGAAUAUUGGUCAAUGGACGAGAGUCUGAACCAGCCAAGUAGCGUGAAGGAUGACUGCCCUAUGGGUUGUAAACUUCUUUUAUAUGGGAAUAAAAUGUUCCACGUGUGGGAUGUUGUAUGUACCAUAUGAAUAAGGAUCGGCUAACUCCGUGCCAGCAGCCGCGGUAAUACGGAGGAUCCGAGCGUUAUCCGGGUUGAUUGGGUUUAAAGGGAGCGUAGGUGGAUUGUUAAGUCAGUUGUGAAAGUUUGCGGCUCAACCGUAAAAUUGCAGUUGAAACUGGCAGUCUUGAGUACAGUAGAGGUGGGCGGAAUUCGUGGUGUAGCGGUGAAAUGCUUAGAUAUCACGAAGAACUCCGAUUGCGAAGGCAGCUCACUGGACUGCAACUGACACUGAGGCUCGAAAGUGUGGGUAUCAAACAGGAUUAGAUACCCGGGUAGUC